GACGAACGCUGGCGGCGUGCUUAACACAUGCAAGUCGAACGGAAAGGCCCUGCUUUUGUGGGGUGCUCGAGUGGCGAACGGGUGAGUAACCAGUGAGUAAACUUCCCUUGACUUUGGGAUAACUUCAGGAAACUGGGGCUAAUACCGGAUAGGAGCUCCUGAUGCAUGGUGGGGGUUGGAAAGUUUCGGCGGUUGGAGAUGGACUCGCGGCUUAUCAGCUUGUUGGUGAGGUAGUGGCUUACCAAGGCUUUGACGGGUAGCCGGCCUGAGAGGGUGACCGGCCACAUGGGGACUGAGAUACGGCCCAGACUCCUACGGGAGGCAGAAGUGGGGAAUAUUGCACAAUGGGCGGAAGCCUGAUGCAGCAACGCCGCGUGCGGGAUGACGGCCUUCGGGUUGUAAACCGCUUUCGCCGGUGACGAAGCGUGAGUGACGGUAAUGGGUAAAGAAGCACCGGCUAACUACGUG
rnacentral:rRNA from 1 species